rnacentral:rRNA from 1 species
AUUGAACGCUGGCGGCAGGCCUAACACAUGCAAGUCGAGCGGAUGAAGGGUGCUUGCUCCUGGAUUCAGCGGCGGACGGGUGAGUAAUGCCUAGGAAUCUGCCUGGUAGUGGUUGAUAACGUCCGGAAACGGGGGCUAAUACCGCAUACGUCCUGAGGGAGUAAGUGUGGGAUCUUCGGACCUUACGCCAUCAGGUGAGCCUAGGUCGGAUUAUCUAGUUGGUGGGGUAAAGGCCUACCAAGGCGACGAUCCGUAACUGGUCUGAGAGGAUGAUCAGCCACACUGGAACUGAGACACGGUCCAGACUCCUACGGGAGGCAGCAGUGGGGAAUAUUGGACAAUGGGCGAAAGCCUGAUCCAGCCAUGCCGCGUGUGUGAAGAAGGUCUUCGGAUUGUAAAGCACUUUAAGUUGGGAGGAAGGGCAGUAAGUUAAUACCUUGCUGUUCUGACGGUACCAACAGAAUAAGCACCGGCUAACUUCGUG